CGCCAUCAGCGCAGUACGAACACUGACGACAUGGUUCUACAGAAACCAGGAUUAGAUACCCCGUUAUUCUCAGAAGAAUAUCUUUAGGGUAGUACUAGUAAUGUCCUUCAAACCCAAAGGAUUUGGCGGUGUUUGAUCUAACCAGGGGAGACUGCCACAUAAUCGUCAGUACGCGUUAGACCUUGCCUGAGCUUAGCUUGUAUACCGUCAUCUCUACACCUUCUGAAGAAACGUGUAACAACCGGCAACGAAGAUGUUAGAUCAAGGUGCAGCUGUCCUUAGGAGGAGGUGGUCCACAGUAAGGAAACUUGUGGAUCUUUGGCUGCAACCCGAGUGAAAAGGACUUGGUAGUAAUUUCAACUAAGAAUUUUAAAAUGAACCUGCCCUCAAGCAUGUACAUAUCGCCGUCGCUAGACCAAGUCUCUGCUACCGUAUCGUACUGCGCU
rnacentral:rRNA from 1 species